rnacentral:rRNA from 1 species
UACGUAGGGGGCAAGCGUUGUUCGGAAUUAUUGGGCGUAAAGGGCGCGUAGGCGGUGCGGUAAGUCUGUAGUGAAAUCUCUGGGCUCAACUCAGAGUCUGCUGCAGAAACUGCCGUGCUUGAGUGUGGGAGAGGUGAGUGGAAUUCCCGGUGUAGCGGUGAAAUGCGUAGAUAUGACAUAGAACAUCGAUUGCGAAGGCAGCUCGCUACACUAUUAUUGACACUGAGGCACGAAAGCGUGGGGAUCAAACAGG